ACACCUCUCGGCCUUUGAGAGGACCAGAGAGCAGGACGGUGCCACAGCCCUUGGGGGACUCUAGGGCCGCGGCGGGCCCGGCUGGUCAUGCGCAGCGCACAAACCUUCAGUUUGGGCACCUCCUGAACCCGCACAUCAUCCCUUAUAGUCCCCACAACCACGGCGGUUUUGUUUUCCCGGCCAGGAAGCUUCAUCUUGCGGAUUAUCCGGAAAAGGGGCAGAGGUGGGCCCUUGGUGCGACUCCUAAACAACCUCUUCAGCACAACCUGGUUGAAUGUGGAGUUGGUUCGUCUGGCCAGAAACCUGUACAGCUUGACCAACAGCCUCAGCCGUGUAAGAUGUGCCUGCUUCCCCCUCGCCUUCUGGCAUGACUGUAAGUUUGCUGAAGCCUCCCAGCCAUGCAUCCUGUAAAGCCUGUGGAACUGACUUCCAGUACUGUGUUGAAGAGGAGUGGUGAGAGUGGGCAUCCAUGCAUCCAUGUCUUAUUCCAAUUCUCAGAGGUAAUGCUUCCAACUGUUCCCAUUCAGUAUUAUGUUGGCCGUGGUUUUGUCAUGGACAUUUUCAAGACGGACUAUAUGUUAGAACAUAAAGUAAGCCUCCAUACAUUUAAUAACUAUUGAAGUACUCCUGAUGGUUAAUACUGAGUGUCAACUUGAUUGGAUUGAAGGAUGCAAGGUAUUGUUUCUGGGUUUGUCUGUGAGGGUGUUGCCAAAGGAGAUUAACAUUUGAGUCAGUGGACUGGGAAAGGCAGAGGCAUCCUUAAUCUGGGUGGGCACAAUCUAAUCAGCUGCCAUCAUGGCCAGAAUAAAAAGCAGGCAGAAGAAAAUGAAGAGACUAGACUGGCUUAGCCUGCCAGCCUACAUCUUUCUCCUGUGCUGGAUGUUUCCUACCCCUGAACAUCGGACUCCAAGUACUUCAGCUUUGGAACUCAAACUGGCUUCCUUGCUCCUCAGCUUGCACAUGACCUACUGUGGGACCUUGUGAUCAUAUUCUACAUCUUCAUUGCUGAUUUAUUUGCAAUACCCUUUCUGGUCUUCAAUCUUGUUUCAAAAAUUUGCUUUAUAUGGAAACUCACCUAAUUACACAGGGAUAUGACUGUUCUCAGAGAGUUUAUAAAUAAUCACUCUGCAAGGAAAAAUAUUUGUGUUUAUAUCUGUAAAAACUAUUUUGUAAUAAUAAUACACCUG
rnacentral:lncRNA from 10 species